GAUGAACGCUGGCGGCAGGCCUAAUACAUGCAAGUCGUGGGGCAGCAGGACUGUAGCAAUACAGUUGCUGGCGACCGGCAAACGGGUGCGGAACAUGUACGCAACUUACCUUGAACUGGGGGAUAGCCCGGGGAAACCCGGAUUAAUACCCCGAUAUAUAAUGGAGUGGCAUCACUUUAUUAUUAAAGCUCCGGCGGUUCGGGAUGGGCGUGGGGCGGGUUAGUUAGUUGGUUGAGGUAACGGCUCACCAAGCCAACGAUCCGUAGCUGAUCUGAGAGGAUGACACGCCAAACUGGAACUGAGACACGGUCCAGACCCCUACGGGAGGCAGCAGUGGGGAAUGUUAUACAAUGGGCGAAAGCCUGCUCGAGCCAAGCCGCGUGGGUGAGGAAGGUAUUCGGAUCGUAAAUCUCUGCUACUUGGAAAGAACACGAGUGUAAUGAAUUCUUACGGAGUUGACGGUACCCAAUGAAUAAGCACCGGCUAACUCCGUG
rnacentral:rRNA from 1 species